AAAUAAAAAAUCCGAGUGAGAGCCCUCGAACACGACAGGCCAAAUCUGACCGUCUGUUAAGUUUGCUUUAUAUAACGUGCGAGUGCCACGGAGGGGCCUUUAAAACGUCCGAGCCCAUCGCUGGGGAGCCACGGGCGCUGGGGAGCGCGAGGCAGCGCUGCCCCGCAGCACCAGCCUGGUCCCGAGCCAAGAAGCACCUCGCUGCAGAGACUCGAUUUUGGGUGCAGAGCGGGGCGAAUCUGCCCAAAGGAGCUUUCAUAAGGGCUGCGUGGGGGACCGGGGAUUCGUGUGCGCAUUCGGGGCAUAGUAAGGGCUCGUGAAAUAGCGUGCGCCUCCUGUGCAGCCCACCAUCGCUUUCAGACUCAUUUAGCAGAGAGAACAAGCAGAAAUCUCACAACUCGAGUAAGAGCAUAUGCUCUGGGAGACCUCGCUACGUUGCAUAAGCCUUCCCAUUAAAGGAUCUGGCUUUGUGAGCACAGCACAUGAGUCAACAGCACAGCUAGACUUGUAACGUGGGAGUCACACCUACUCUUGGCUGCAGAAUUAUCCAGAGAAACAGAAGGUUAAUAGGAACAAAAUAAAGACUGAGGAACCCUUAAAGGUUAGCUGCAGGAUUUUAUUCAAUUGGCAAGAGGGGAAAAAAAGAAAUGAAAUGGGUCAAGCCAAGGGAGAGAGAGCAGGGUAAUGAAAAGCCACGUCGUCUGUCUCCUAUGCAAAGACAGUUCAGUUUAGAUCAGUAAAAAUGUGAUCAAUAAAACAUUUUUUUUUCCAUAUUAGCUAGUUCUGGAGAGGGUCAUUAUUGAUUACAGAAAGAAAAAGUCACUUGACUGAUGAGCAAGUGAGUGGAGUGAGCUCCAGGAUGCUGAAGAAAUCCUAACAGUGCCUGCAUGCAGUGUGGCAAUGCCUCCCAAAAACAAGGAAAUAGAGACAAAAACCAGCAGGCGUCGGGAGCAGUAUCGCGUCCCUUGGCUUUGCUUCUGCCUUUAUGUCCUUAUUUUGUGUUGAGGCAUUUUGGAAGUACACACAAACAAGGAGGACGUCUGUCGUUGGCCCUUGUAAAGCCUCAGUGUCCCUGGUCCCCUGGCCUUCAGUGCACGGGUGCAGGCUGGGCAAGGCGAGGUGGGAGCAGGAGUGUCCUCGGUGUAUGAACGCCCACCCGUGGAGCUUCUCGCCUUGUGAAGGGUUCGGCUCAGCAAAUCUUACCCCGACACUGAGCCCUUAUGGGAGGCUGGAGCCAGUCUCCGUACAGAUUGAUCAGGGGCAUUGCAGUUUUACAUUCAGGAAUGCGGUGGCCUCGCUGGCCUCUUAAGAAGAAAAGGAAAGAAUUCGGAGUUGUGUUUUGUCUGCAGGAUGUCACCCUUGUUCUUCCUCCUGAGGCUUCGUGUGCCCCAACCUGGCAUCAGCCGCGGUGUGGGCUUGCCUGCCUAAGACCCACCUCAGCGUCUGGACGAGGCUCUCAGACAGAUGGUUUACUUUUCAGGUAGUUGUGCGUGGAGCCAGGAGUUGGGCUCGAUGAUCUUCGUGGGUCCCUUCCAGCUUGGGAUAUUCUGCGAUGCUGCGAUUCUAUGACUCAGUCCCAAAUCUGUGCUGUAAAAACCAGGGAUUACCAGGAUGGGAGUGAGAAAACCUUGAUAGCUCCGAGCUUCUGAUCAGAGCAUAUAGAAGAGCCCCGCGCUGGGCUGCCCUCGCGUUGCUUUUGUUGUUGCAUCGGCUUCUUGGCUCUCCUCCACGUGUACCAAGGUCUAAGUGGAGGGUGGCCGUGGGGGAGGCGUUGGGCAACACAGGCGAUGUUUCAUCCCUCGCUCUCAGUGCUCUUGCAGGGGGAGAGAUCGUCUUGUGAUCAAAGCACAAGACCAGCAGUCAGACGAUCUGGGUUACUGCAAGGUUUGAUUUGCCAAUAUCAGCUCGCAGUUCUGGCACCUCCGAAGGCAGGGGCUGUCAGGGAGCCUGAAGCUUGCCUGCUGCCGCGCACGGAGCAGGUUUUGGGGUUCUUGUGCCUCUUGUGGAAUGAGGAACUGCUCGGCGGGCCUAGCAACAUAAUUUGCCAGUGGUGGGGGUGAGGAACACUUGGUGGCCUUAGUCUGAAGCUUUAAAAAUGGCCUGAAGGCCUGAUGUGUGCCUGGCGAAGGGUAGCGGCGGGGGGAAGAUGGAGAAGGUCCGACCGGGUGGUCUCCACGUGCACCCCGAGCAAGAGGGCGCCCGUGGAGUGCAGGUUUAUGGUCUCGCCAUAAAACCCUGUGCUUGAGGCAGUGAAAAUCCAAACGCAGCCCUGAAGGUCAACUGAUCUCCUUCCUAAAGCGCACGUCCUGACCCUGUGACAUCAGGUCCUGGGGGGGGGGUGCCUGGGGAGCCAUGCGAUGGUGCUCCGGGCACAGCGGAGAAGGGGGCAGCGCAUCUGACCAAGCUUCUGCAUCCCCUGCAUGGCACCAGGGCAGCAGGAAGGCUGCCGAGGUCCUUGCGUUGGCUCCGGGGGGGUAAAAGGACUUCUGUGGGUGAAGCUGAGUGUCUCGGGGAGCCCAGCUGGUAGAUUAGGGGGCAGGUCCCUGGGGGAGCUGAACCCGGCGUCUCUGCACGCUGCCGAUCGCGGGUCUCCGGCUGCGCCGUCUGGCAAUGAGCUGUAGCAGUCUUCAAGAGCCGGAGCUAGAUCCCCGCCUCCCCGCCAGCAGCUGCGAUGGGUCCUGGCACAGGAGGCUGCUCAGUUUUUCCUAAAUCUGGCUGAGCAGUCUCCCGGGAAAUGGGAGUCAGCUUGCUUGCCAUCCCGCCCGCAUCAGUCCAAGAGCAGCAGGUGGGGAGUCAAAGUCCCUCCUGGGCUGAAGACAGAGAGAGGAGCUUUUAUCCUCAAACAUAUGUAUUUUGAAAAUUUCGUGGGGGAAAAAAGAAGUUUCCUUACGGGAAAAAGAAUUAGUAAAUUGAAUUGGCUCCUCUGUGCACAAUGGGGUAAAAUUUGAAGAGGUGAAAAAAGACAGAAAGGAGGGAGAAAUCCCCGCUCAGAAGGCCCCAUGUGGCUUCAGGUGGAACAAAGGGCUCCUGUGAUGGAGGUUUAGGGAAACGCCAGCGUUGCCAGCGAGGAGCUCAGCCGAAAGCCUUCAGCCCUGGCCCUGUGGAGGGCUUUGGGGGCCGGUCCCGAUGCCGUGGCCCUGCCUGCGCCGUGGCAGCCCCGCACAGGGAUUCAGGUGCCCGCCCUGCGCCGCCCGUGGGAAACCCGCGCGGCUCCAAACCACGGGUCUUGUGAUUAUUAUUAUUAUUUUUUUUAAUUCUUAUUAUUUCAGUCCCAUGAUUUUGUUUUCACUGUUUCUAAUUCUUUGCCUUGGGGAAGGGAGGCAGGGAACUGCUGUGGUUUUUUGGGUGUUGUGGGCCAUAAUCUGAAUUUUAACUGACAAGGCAUUGCCAUCCAGACUGCGGGAGGCAGAUGUAGUGAUAAACGGUGGUAAUGCAGCUUUGGAGGAGCUGUGUUUGCAGCAUAACCAGUGGUUUCACUUCGUUUCACUAUUUCACGUCUUUCCUUCUCUUUAUCCAAGCAGUGAAAUCGAUCAAUCAUCAGUCUCCCGGCAGAAAUCGCGGCAUUGUGCUCACUUCAGGGCAGUUGCUAGGACAUCUUGGUGGAGUGCAAGAAUGUGCUUGGCCAAUGGCAGGUAAAGAUUAAAUCCUACACCAUGCUGAGUUUUCAGAACUGGAGGGAUUACAUUAUUUCUAGGUAAUUUAAAUGGCUCCGAGAGAUAGAGUUUUAAACUUGCAUGGUAUUUUUCAUUCUAAGAAGUCCCAGAGCACUUUCCUGGCAGAUUGGGAUAGAGAAACUGUCCCCAGAGAUAAAAUAUGGCAAGCGAGCGAUAGCACCUGCAGUAAAGUGAAGCAAAACCCUGUUGUCUGAAUGCCAGGAGAGGGGGCAUCCAGGCAGACACACGUAUAUGUGCCCACGCCGCAUGCCCUCGUGAGCAAGGCACGACGAAGCGUUCAGCUUUGGGGUCUGCGUGAAGGUGAGCUCGGGGGUGGCUCCGUGUGCCGGCCCCGCUGCCCCCCUCCCCGUCCCGCUCCCCCAGCUCGUCCCUGCUGCCCUGCCACGUCCCCUCCUCUGAGUCACCGGCCCUGCAGCUGCGCUCGGUGCGUGGCCUCUGUCAGGCCCCGGGGGUUUUCUGCGCCUUGCAAUCAGAAAGAAAUCAGCUGGGGCUGCGGUGGCGGGGGAUCGGGAUGGUGAACGUCCCGUUGGCGACGUGGCCGUGCUCCCACCUCGGCUGCAGCCUCCUGCGUCCGUGCGCCCCCCUAGCAGGACGGGGUGGCAGCAUCUACCUUGGGGUCAGCGAGCAUCGGCACCGUUCAGGCCGGUGGGGGAACGCUGUUACCCUCAGUUAAGCAGCGCAGACCCCUCUGAGUGCCCAUCGUUAUCCCUAAUUUAACACAGGCUGCGUUGUGUUUAAAGAGCACGGGCGAGGCCUGGGUGAGCCUGCAGCCCCAGCACAUCGCAGCUCCUCUCCUGAAAGUUUCUUCACUGCUUUUCUCAGGGACACGCAGAAUGGAAAUAGGAGCUCCUGCCAGGGAAUUUCCGCCCCAAGUCGCUCACAGCGAACCGAAAACUACAGAUCUCCCACUGAGUUUCUGAGGAAGUGACUCCCAGCUGAAAACAGCUCUGCAUCCAAAGCACACGAGGAGGGGCGGCGUGGAGGAGGUCAGGGCCGCCAGCUGCGGCGGCGCCGUUGCUCAGCGCGCUGACACGCUCCGCACGGGGUGUCGCUGGCAGGCUGGAGGUGGCUGCACGACGGAAGACGGGGCUAAAUAAAGGUCUGCCACCUCCAUAAUUCCGGCAGCUGAAUUUCAGCACGGUAUCUAGUCACAACGUGACAUAUCUGCUCGGAUUGAAAAGCCAACCUCAAACCUCUCUAAUUUUGGCAAUGCUGGGCUGCAGCCAAAAUGAUUAAUGGAGCGAUCUCUGCUAAGCAGUAACUGCUUUCCCAAGCAGCUCAGCACCGAGGGGAAGAAAACCAGAAGGCGGCACGUUGGAUCAGCUGUGUGCUCCCGAGGGUUCCUGGGCAGGCAGGAGCUCUCGCUUCUCGUGUUUGCUUCAACACAGCCCUAAAAUAUUCCCAGCCCGUAGCAGAUGCACACACGAGCAAGCUUGUAGUCACUGUGGGAUCGAGGAGGCAAUGAGCCCUCUCAUCCCCUACCCUUCCUCAAGUAAUUAUCACGCACUUUGCACCCUAAUGAGAACUGCUCCAUUUUCCCAUCCUUCCACUCCGCUGCUCCUUCCUUGUGGCUGCUUCUCAGACGUCUCCUUUAUAAAGCUGAUCUGGCAAAGAGGUUAUAUUUUAUCUUAAAAAAGAGAAAUCUUUGGAAAUCAGCAGCGUAGCUGUGUGUUAUCAUGCCUGUGACCCGCUAAUUGGGUGACAAGUCCGUGAGGAUGGCGGUGCAGGACGAGGGGCAGAGCGCAGCAAGGACGGCAGCGGCACAAGGGCUUCGUUCCUGUCAGCAUCCCACCGGGGAAGCAACAAAUCCCUGCAGACACAUGAGACCGAAGGAAUAUGGGCAGGCGGGUCUGCAGGAGGCAGAGGAGGAGGCGCGCUCUGCGUGUGAGGCCCUUCAGCCUGUGACCACAACCCACGGGGCUUCGGCUCACCCCAGCCCCUGCCAGACCUCUCCCGCUCCGAACCCUGCGGAGAAGCAGAGCGUUGCCUGACCCGCCGGCUGUCUGUCCCGUGCCAAGCCCCACCGCGUGGCCGUGCCAGGCCGGCCCUGUGCUCCGGCUCCCCUGGGAGAUGAGCCCGGCCAGGAUCGCAGCAAGCCCCUGCUCGGCUCCAGGUGUGUGCGGGUGGGGAGCGCUCGGCCGCACUGGGGAGAGGGGUGGGAGACGCGCUCAGGUAGAAGGUGCUUCCACGCCCACCCAAAACCUCCAGGACAGACCUGAUCUUUGCCACCUAAGAAUGAAAGGUGCGUGGUUGCUCGAAGCACCCUGGGUACAGGUUGCAACAAACUGAGCCCUGCAGCCUGCUCAUGAACCUCCCUUUGACCGUGGCUAUCUGCUCGCUGGUGCUCGGUUCUCAUCGGCUCGGAGGUGCAGGGAAAAACGCGCCUCUCUCCUGCGCCGGAGCUCCCUUUGCACUUCAAACGCCGCUGCCUGUGGUUGAUGUUUGCGCCACAAGCAGCAGGCAUCUCCGAGGAGGAGAGAGCCAGCACUUCCCCGCCAUUGUGUGGGUUUCGCCUGCAAACCUCGCCGCCCAGUCUGGGAGAUGGCAGCGAUCCGCCCAGCAGACAGCAGGGUCCCACCUCGGUUCCUAUUCACCUGGAGAUGAAAGUGCUCUGGCUGCCCGUGUAGGCGGGGCAAAACUAUUUAAAAACCUCAUUAGAGAAAGUAUUUGGGGAAGACAGCAACACCCUCAGUUGUGGUUUGCUCCAGCGCUUCUCAGCCAGAUCGCUUCUGAUACAGAGGGAAGGGCACCCUGAGACACAUUCCUGUCAGCUGUUUCUCCUCUCGGCGGUGCGUUUGGGGCGCUUCGCCCCGCUCCGGCCCCGGGGCUGUGUUCGCUGCGGAAAUGCGGGCGCGCUCCCCCCCAGGUGCUGAGGCCGGCUGCGGGAGGUUUCUGCGGUGCGGAGUGGUCCUGGUUUGGGCUUGAGGAAAGCAAGAGUGUGUGUGUAAUCUUGAUUAGGCACAAAUCCACCGUGAAUAUCUCCUAUUCCACUUAAUUCCUGUUCGUGCUUAUUUCGGCUGCACUUGCAGCAGGAGGAAGGCCUGGCCCGCGUCUGUCUCGCGAUACGCAGGGGAUUGGAGCGGCACGUUGGGAGGAGGCAGGUCUGCAUUCAGAGUUCUGGCUUCUCAUUUAGAGAGCGACUGACUGUGCUGAGCCAGGCUGCCCCACAGCUCAGCCACGUUCACAUCCAAGUGCUUGGAAGGCCGCACGGCCAGCAAACCUCCCGUGCGCGGUGUGUGCUGGUGCUGCGCACCUGCACUGCCUUUACCUCCUGUGUUUUCUUUGCACAAGAAUUCAAUUUAAUCAAAUGGGUCAAAUGCUCAAUGACGACCAGCACGCUCAAGCACCCGUGGUCCUUUUCCCUCUCCCGAUGGAGGAGCCACGUGCAGCCUGCCACCAGCAGCUCGCCGCUGAGCAGGUGCCCCGGGUGUGGUGCUAGCGGCCUGCAGAGCGCAGGCUGGGCUCAGCGAGCCUACCCGCUGCAUCUGGGCUCGCCUGCCUUUAUCCCCAGCGAGGGGGCUGGCAGCGUCCCUGCCAAGAGGGCUGCGUCCCCAUGUGCCACCACCAGCACCACCCUCGCCCUUCACUUCUGCCACGAGCCGCUGGGGCCCUCCCUCCGUGCCUGCCACCUCCCUCUGCGCCUGCCAGCUGUGACAUUUCUGCUCGGAACCGCGUCCCCCUGGACCGAGCAGGAGUCGCCCCGUGUGCCAUCAGCACAUGGAUCGCACAGACCUCGUCCGACAGGCUUGGGGUUCGGGGGUCGAGGUUUAAGCCACCCGUGUCCUGACACGAGCCAGAAGGACAACGCUCCCACUCCCUUCUUGUGCCUGCUUGGUUUUUAUCUUUUAUUGUUUUUGGGGGGUAAUCUUUUAAAUCCAGUUAGCAAGCUGAGAACACUUUUAAUGUAACUGACUCAGAGGAAAUGCAUCGUGGCCCUGCAGCUGCUGUUCCCCACAUCCCACAGACAGAACAAAAUCUACCCAGACGACGAGCUCCCGCAGUAUUGAUUCUUACCGGGGUACGUGGAUGCCAGUGAAAAAUAAAUAAUGCUGCAGCUGAAAGGUGUGGCGUUUCCUAAGCCAAAGAUCUGAAAGCACCUCACUUUGCUUUGCAUACCUGCAGAGCACCGUGCUUUCUGCUUUUCAGAUAUGAAAGCUGAGGCACGGAGACAUCUGAUGAGGCUCCGCCGCUGACUCACUGUUUGAUGUUAGGCAGAGCUGCGAGCGUGAUCAGAUAGCAUUGUGCAGAGCGCUCACCAGACGGCUGUGUCACCCGGGAGGAAAAGCAGCGCUCGGGCACGACGGCGUCUGCACCCGCAGCUGCCCCCCCGGUGCCCCGCAGCGACCCUCGGGGUCGGUGGCCGGGGACGUGGUGGCCUUGCCCUGUCCCCCCCCAGACCUGCCGGGCAGAGGGGUGCGUGCCCGAACCCCAAAGUCCCUCUUGCGAUGGGGACUGCAGACGGGGCUCAAGGCGGUGCCGCGGAGGCGCGCAGGGCAGCGCGCGGGUGUGCGGAGCGUGCCGAGGGCUCGUUCUCACGCGAUGGAGCGCGCGGCCGGCGGGGAGCUGGUUAAGCAGCGCGAGCGCCCGGGCUGCCUGGGUUUGGCUCGCAGCGUGGGGCAGGGCAGGCUGUCACAGCGAGGCAGGGAUGUUUUAUUAAACAGAGUCUCAAAGUGGGCUAAAGUCUCUUAUUAUGAAUUGUAAUGUCCACAGAUUUUGCCACUUCCAAAUAGUUUCCACCUACGUAUUCCUCCCACUGCUGCGUUCAGUGCUGGCAAACAUCUCCGCGCACGGAGGAGAACGGCUUUCAUUUGAAUAGUCCGCAGGCAAGUUUCGCUGCGCGGUGCCAGCGUCCUGCCCGCAGCACGCACGUGCCCAGCAGCCACCCAGUGCCAUUUACUUGCCCAGGACGCCGCAGGGAGAGCGGCUCUCGUCGGAUUUUCCCAAUGUUUUGUCCAAACACGGUCCGUGGUAGCCCGAAACGAUGUCGUGAAAUGUGAAAUCUCAACUUCUAACUCGCGGGCGAUUCCUUUCAUCGCACGAGGCAGCGCGGCCAGCUGUGCUGCUGAGACAGUGAGUCAGACACGCACCGGGCUGAAACCACGGUGCUUCACGGUGAAGUCAAGCUUUUGCAACUACCUGCAGGCUACCAGAGGAGGAAGGCAGAGCCCCGGCGGAUGACAAACUCUUCCUCACAUCCUGAGCUGCUAAAUCACGCAGUGCCCCUUUCGCCCCUCCGGCUGCGGGCUCGCCCUGGGCAGCACCCGGGGGGCUCCCAGCAGCCGCUGACCCCGGGACCCCAGGGUGCGCGCUGCGUGGGCUGGCAGCGGGGCCGUGCAGCUCGGCCUGCAGGGCAGCCGAGCCACGUCCCGUGGCUGGCAGUGCCCCGCCACCCCCCCGGCCCGCUCACACCGGUGCCGGCGGCUGGGGACGUGCCAGGCUGGGCACGAGGGCUGUCUGCAGGCAGCGUGGCUCCCGGCGCGCUUCUCCUCCUGCAGAGCACUGGGGAUGCCCGGCGGGUGCCGGGAGCGAAGCGCUUCCACGCAGCGCUGCCCGCCCGCGUGCCCUUCGCUUCCAGCCCAAGCCGCGGCUGUCCUUUAACCUCCGGUGCCAGUAACCUGAGCCGGGAUUGCUGGAAAUGAGAGAGAAGGAGAGCCGGCUAUUUGAUGACAGGCCACAGGCACAUGCCUGGCCUUCGCAGAUAUAUUAAGUAAGAGACAUUUUAAAACAAAACCACCCUCAGUAACCUUAUCGUAAGCCUGAAUCCACAACCCAUCUGCUAACUCCCGGCGCUGCCCACGUAGGCUCCCAUCAGGCGCCGGUGCCGGGGAUUUUCAGAACGUUUCGCCCCAAAUCGCCGUGCUGGGAGGCAGCGCCCCGGGAAGGUGCCGCCGCAGGAACCCGAUCCCCUCAGCACGCCCUCGGGAGCAAGCUGCGAACCCUCGCCUUUUCGUGCGUCUGUAAAUAACUCCAAAUCCCCGCGGGACGCGAGCUGCUGCUAUCCUGUGACACUCAGCCCCUCCGAGACGAGCCUCCGGAGGCCUGCUGCUCUCCUCGUGGCUUUAGAAAAUUAAAGCCUUUUUGAACAUUUCGCUGCUGCCCUAACCGGACGCUGCAGAGGAACCUUCCACGUAGAAAUAAUUCAGCAAACAAAAUCGAGAUGGCAAAUUGAUGAUUGCAUCAGCCCCAGCUUAUGAAAGCUGAUCCUCGGGAAAAUGUAAUUCAACGCUCGGCAAUCUAACUUGAUGCCCAAGAAUGCGAUGGCUUCGCUCGGGUCCUCUUUUUAGGGGGACUCCUAAAUCCUUGGCAACUUCCCUUAAGGUCAUGAGUAAAUCCCGAUAUGGAGAAUUGUUUGGCAAGCAGGAGAACAGUAAAAGGGCUAAAUAAUUGGGGAUUACCUCUGACCCUGAUUUGUAGCUCACCACCCACUGCAGGAAUGUACCAAAUAUCUCAAAGAGCGUGCAGGGAUCAGACAAUUCAUGGGCAUGAAACUGUCCACGUACAGGGAGCCUGAACUUAAAAUGCAGAGCAGGUUGGCCCCAUGCCUCAUUUUUCAUCAGCAAUCAGCUGCAGCAAGCUCUAAUUAUUUCUCUUGCCUCGGACAGAGGGUCAGCGAUGGGACAGAGUAUAAACUGUACGUAAUGUUGUCCCCUGUUUGUUUGGAAAGUAGCAGCUCGGGUCUUGGGGGCAGAAAGAGGAUGAAGCACCCGAUUCCCCCCAUUAUUUCUGACGGUGACCGUCCCCCGUGCUGCAGGAGGGGACAAGCGCAUCAGCUCCGUUUUUCUGAUGGUUAUCACUGAGCUUGUCGAGUGCCUGUACGCACGGCCAGCCCCGCUGUGAGCCCUCAGCCCGGGGCUGUGACCCUGCCCCAUUUGCGCUCAGCGCUUCGUUUUGGGCAGGCGAGCCCCCUCCUCUGCGGCGGAGCGGUCUCACGACGCUGCUCUGGGUGCACAGCACCACGCACGGCAGCCCCUGGGGAUCCCGGAGCCAGCGCCAGGUCUGCAGGCUCGGACCGGAGCCCCGAGAAGAGCAGCCUGCCUGGGGCAGCCUCAGCCUGGUCUGGGCUCUGCGCUCCGUCGUUAGCUGUGCGUGCUGCCGCUGCAGCUGGGAGCUUGGAAGGAGUUUAGGAGGUGGUUGUGUGUUGUUUUUUUUAAAAAAAAAACCUUACAUUUACAG